CAUCAUGGCCGACUGACAGUUGGAACAUGCUUCUCCAGUUUCAGAACUCAUUCUACUACCCGUUCUUGGGUCCCGCCCAGCUUUUAGGAGCUUCUAGGAUCCCAAGGAACUUUCUACCACUGAAGAUAAAAACGGCCACUCGGAGAUCUCUACUAAACAGCACUGACUGAGCACUUCUACUCGACUUUUGUGAAACAUAGGGCCUUGCUAUGCUGUUCAGACUUCUGGGUUUACACAAUCCUUCUGAUUCAGCCUCCUGUAGCUGCCACUCCUGGUUUGACCACCAGGCUCACAGCCAGAGGAAGUUACUGUAUAGAAACACUCACAAAAGGAUAAGUACGCCAAAGUUCCGGCAGCAUUCUUCCAUAAUAAAACAUGAGAGACGUAA
rnacentral:sRNA from 1 species